UUAGGCAUGUUCGACUUCAUGAAGCGCUGCGAGAACCCACAUCAUAUGUUGAUGACGUAAACGUAUCGCGAGACUGAGUCAAGAAAUUACACGUAGAGGUCUAAUUUCGAACCGCUCUCGCGGUACAUUGACGUCAUCAUCAUGUCAGCGCCGCAUGAGGUCGAACACACCUAUUAUUUGCGGGCACGCGCCUCCGUCCUCGUGAGUUCAAAAACUGAAUUUAACCGAUGUUUGCCUCAGACGACAGUUUUCGUUUCUGUGAUAAAUUCUGAGCUAAUUUUCUUGUUGUGUUUUAUCUUUUCCAUUGGCUGAAGAAUGCUGUGACAAAAAAGCAACCAGGACACCACAUCUGCAGUGACAGAGAGCAGGAUGGGGGAGGAAUCAGAAGGACCAGAAGAUAAUAUCAACUGGUGCCCCUGAGGAGAUUCACAUUGUUCUGUUUCUUUUGUUUAGCAAUAAGUGGUUUUAUGUGAUUUUGUAAAAUAAAAGAAAUUCAGUAUUCAAUCCACAUGUUUUGCACAUCAUUUUCUAUAUUUUACUUCCGUGUAUUUACAGCCAGGGUGCCUACUGUAUUUAUUGCCCAAUGUGCCCACACGUUGCCCACAGUUAGCCCAUACUUUGCCCAGUGUGCCCACAUUAAAUCCACACUUUUUCCACAGUAAGCCCACACUUUGCCCAGUGUACCCACAGUUAGCCCACACUUUGCCCACAGCCCACACUUUGCUCAAUGUGCCCACAGUUAGCCCACACUUUGCCCAAUGUGCCCACAGAAAGCCCACACUUUGCCCACACUUUGCUCAAUGUGCCCACAGUAAACCCACAGUUAGCCCACACUUUACCCAAUGUGCCCACAGUAAACCCACACUUUGCCCACAGUUAGCCCAAUGUGCCCACAGUAAGCCCACAGUUAGCCCACGCUUUGCCCAAUGUGCCCACAGUAAGCCCACACCCAGCCCACACUUUGGGCUGUCCCACUGGGGCCCCAUUGUGGCCCCAUAGUGUGGGGCCCACACGUGCCCCGCAUUUCACGCCGGUAGUGGGGCCCACAGGGGCAGCCCGCUGUGGGCCCCAAUUUUUUGCCCACAGUGGCCCCACCUGGGGCCCAAUGGGACAUGUUUGCU